AGUGAACGCUGGCGGUAGGCCUAACACGUGCAAGUCGAACGGCAGCACAGUAAGAGCUCGCUCUUACGGGUGGCGAGUGGCGGACGGGUGAGGAAUACAUCGGAAUCUACUUUUUCGUGGGGGAUAACGUAGGGAAACUUACGCUAAUACCGCAUACGACCUACGGGUGAAAGCAGGGGAUCUUCGGACCUUGCGCGAUUGAAUGAGCCGAUGUCGGAUUAGCUAGUUGGCGGGGUAAAGGCCCACCAAGGCGACGAUCCGUAGCUGGUCUGAGAGGAUGAUCAGCCACACUGGAACUGAGACACGGUCCAGACUCCUACGGGAGGCAGCAGUGGGGAAUAUUGGACAAUGGGCGCAAGCCUGAUCCAGCCAUACCGCGUGGGUGAAGAAGGCCUUCGGGUUGUAAAGCCCUUUUGUUGGGAAAGAAAAGCAGCAGGUUAAUACCCCGCUGUUCUGACGGUACCCAAAGAAUAAGCACCGGCUAACUUCGUG
rnacentral:rRNA from 1 species